rnacentral:rRNA from 1 species
GACGAACGCUGGCGGCGUGCUUAACACAUGCAAGUCGAACGGAAAGGCCCUGCUUUUGUGGGGUGCUCGAGUGGCGAACGGGUGAGUAACACGUGAGUAACCUGCCCUUGACUUUGGGAUAACUUCAGGAAACUGGGGCUAAUACCGGAUAGGAGCUCCUGCUGCAUGGUGGGGGUUGGAAAGUUUCGGCGGUUGGGGAUGGACUCGCGGCUUAUCAGCUUGUUGGUGGGGUAGUGGCUUACCAAGGCUUUGACGGGUAGCCCGCCUGAGAGGGUGACCGGCCACAUUGGGACUGAGAGACGGCCCAGACUCCUACGGGAGGCAGCAGUGGGGAAUAUUGCACAAUGGGCGGAAGCCUGAUGCAGCAACGCCGCGUGCGGGAUGACGGCCUUCGGGUUGUAAACCGCUUUCGCCUGUGACGAAGCGUGAGUGACGGUAAUGGGUAAAGAAGCACCGGCUAACUACGUG